GUAGUCAUAUGCUUGUCUCAAAGAUUAAGCCAUGCAUGUCUAAGUAUAAGCAAUUAUACAGCGAAACUGCGAAUGGCUCAUUAAAUCAGUUAUCGUUUAUUUGAUCGUACCUUACUACUUGGAUAACCGUGGUAAUUCUAGAGCUAAUACAUGCUAAAAAUCCCGACUUCGGAAGGGAUGUAUUUAUUAGAUUAAAAACCAAUGCCCUCCGGGGCUCACUGGUGAUUCAUGAUAACUUCUCGAAUCGCAUGGCCUUGCGCCGGCGAUGGUUCAUUCAAAUUUCUGCCCUAUCAACUUUCGACGGCUGGGUCUUGGCCAGCCAUGGUGACAACGGGUAACGGAGGGUUAGGGCUCGACCCCGGAGAAGGAGCCUGAGAAACGGCUACUACAUCCAAGGAAGGCAGCAGGCGCGCAAAUUACCCAAUCCCGACUCGGGGAGGUAGUGACAAUAAAUACUGAUACAGGGCUCUUUUGGGUCUUGUAAUUGGAAUGAGUACAAUUUAAAUCCCUUAACGAGGAACAAUUGGAGGGCAAGUCUGGUGCCAGCAGCCGCGGUAAUUCCAGCUCCAAUAGCGUAUAUUAAAGUUGUUGCAGUUAAAAAGCUCGUAGUUGAACCUUGGGUCUGGCUGGCCGGUCCGCCUCACCGCGUGCACUGGUCCGGCCGGACCUUUCCCUCUGGGGAACCGCAUGCCCUUUACUGGGUGUGUCGGGGAACCAGGACUUUUACUUUGAAAAAAUUAGAGUGUUCAAAGCAGGCCUUUGCUCGGAUACAUUAGCAUGGAAUAAUAGAAUAGGACGUGUGGUUCUAUUUUGUUGGUUUCUAGGACCGCCGUAAUGAUUAAUAGGGACAGUCGGGGGCAUCAGUAUUCAAUUGUCAGAGGUGAAAUUCUUGGAUUUAUUGAAGACUAACUACUGCGAAAGCAUUUGCCAAGGAUGUUUUCAUUAAUCAGGAACGAAAGUUAGGGGAUCGAAGACGAUCAGAUACCGUCGUAGUCUUAACCAUAAACUAUGCCGACUAGGGAUCGGACGAUGUUAUUCUUUGACUCGUUCGGCACCUUACACGAAAGUACAAGUUUCUGGGUUCUGGGGGGAGUAUGGUCGCAAGGCUGAAACUUAAAGGAAUUGACGGAAG
rnacentral:rRNA from 1 species